AGGAGAGGAAGAGAGACCUGCCCUGUAGCGUGACUCCUCUAGAAAAAAAAAAAAAAAGCCGGAGUAUUUUACUAAGCCCCUAAAAUGUCGAGAUUUGUACAAGAUCUUAGCAAAGCAAUGUCUCAAGAUGGUGCUUCUCAGUUCCAAGAAGUCAUUCGGCAAGAGCUAGAAUUAUCUGUGAAGAAGGAACUAGAAAAAAUACUCACCACAGCAUCAUCACAUGAAUUUGAGAGAGUCACUUCUGAUAGAACCAUGCUACUUUGA
rnacentral:lncRNA from 1 species